UAACAUCGAUUCUUGAAGAUCAAUGUUGUUGAAUGCAUUAUUUAAAAACCAAUGUUGUUGGCUCUCUUUUAAUAAUAACUCUAGCGCGCCUUACACCCUCUUGAGCUCAGCUUGAAACCCUCGCCUAGUCUCUCGAACAAACACUUCCUUAACAUCUCUUCGGCCCUCUGUCAUAGCCACCGCACCACCACAAGCACCACCGCCACCUCAGCUAGCUUUGAUUUGUGUGUGAACGUGUUUGUGGGUCUUGUUGCCGUAACGUCUGGCAAUGUUGUGCCGAUCUCUGUUGCUGCUGUCAUAGAAGCACAAAGGAAGUAGAAACACGAAGCUUUGUGUGAAAGUCUUUCUGGGUGAAGGAAGUAGAAGCACAAAGCCCUUGCCUCAACGUUGCUGGCGUCAUUCCAGGAAAAUUUUAUCAAUGGAUAGUCAUUUCAACAUGAAGAAGGAUCACAGGUUGGAACAAUUGAUAGCAAUAAAUUACAUUCAGAUGAGCAGAAGUAGGUGAUGUUGGAGGGAGAUUUUUUUGUUGAAGUCGCCAAGCUUACGUGAUAACGUUCAAAUUUGUUUUGGGAGAAAGUUGUGUUUUGUUAUCAACUCUUCCUUAGUUGGUUCCUUGAUUCUUUUUUAUUGGGCGAGUAAAUCUCAGGUUUAGAUACAUGUAAAAAUUGAAUUAUGUUCUAACAUGUGAAUGAUGUAUAAUGGUUUAAUAUAUAUGUAUUUAUUCACCUA